UACGUAGGGGGCAAGCGUUGUCCGGAUUUAUUGGGCGUAAAGAGCGUGUAGGCGGCCGUACAGGUCAGCUGUGAAAACUCGAGGCUCAACCUCGAGACGUCGGUUGAAACCGUACGGCUAGAGUCCGGAAGAGGAGAGUGGAAUUCCCGGUGUAGCGGUGAAAUGCGCAGAUAUCGGGAAGAACACCCGUGGCUAAGGCGGCUCUCUAGUACGGUACUGACGCUGAGACGCGAAAGCGUGGGGAGCGAACAGG
rnacentral:rRNA from 1 species